UACGUAGGUGGCAAGCGUUGUCCGGAAUUAUUGGGCGUAAAGGGCGUGUAGGUGGAUGUUUAAGUCGUGUGUCUAAGUGCGAGGCUCAACCUCGUAUAGGCGCAGGAAACUGGAGAUCUUGAGUGCAGGAGAGGAAAGUGGAAUUCCCAGUGUAGCGGUGAAAUGCGUAGAUAUUGGGAGGAACACCAGUGGCGAAGGCGACUUUCUGGACUGUGUCUGACACUGAGGCGCGAAAGCCAGGGGAGCGAACGGGAUUAGAUACCCCGGUAGUCCUGGCCGUAAACGAUGGGUACUAGGUGUAGAGGGUAUCGACCCCUUCUGUGCCGCAAGCUAACGCAAUAAGUACCCCGCCUGGGGAGUACGGCCGCAAGGUUGAA
rnacentral:rRNA from 1 species